rnacentral:misc_RNA from 1 species
UCCGGUUUGUCACCGGCAGUCUCCCUAGAGUUCCCGGCCGAACCGCUGGCAACUAUGGACAAGGGUUGCGCUCGUUACGGGACUUAACCCAACAUUUCACAACACGAGCUGACGACAGCCAUGCAGCACCUGUCACUCGGCUCCCGAAGGCACUCCGCCAUCUCUGGCAGAUUCCGAGGAUGUCAAGGGUAGGUAAGGUUCUUCGCGUUGCAUCGAAUUAAACCACAUGCUCCACCGCUUGUGCGGGCCCCCGUCAAUUCCUUUGAGUUUUAGCCUUGCGGCCGUACUCCCCAGGCGGGGCGCUUAAUGCGUUAGCUUCGGCACAGAAGGGGUCGAUACCCCCCACACCUAGUGCCCAACGUUUACGGCGUGGACUAC